rnacentral:rRNA from 1 species
GAUGAACGCUGGCGGCGUGCCUAAUACAUGCAAGUCGAGCGAACGGACGAGAAGCUUGCGUCUCUGAUGUUAGCGGCGGACGGGUGAGUAACACGUGGAUAACCUACCUAUAAGACUGGGAUAACUUCGGGAAACCGGAGCUAAUACCGUAUAAUAUUUUGAACCGCAUGGUUCAAAAGUGAAAGACGGUCUUGCUGUCACUUAUAGAUGGAUCCGCGCUGCAUUAGCUAGUUGGUAAGGUAACGGCUUACCAAGGCAACGGUGCAUAGCCGACCGGUGAGCGGGUACCCCCCCUCUGGAAGUGAGCCGCGGCCCUGGCUCUUACGGGCGGCCGCGGUAGGGACUCUUGCGCAAUGGGCGAAAUCCUGACGGAGCAGCGCAGCGUGAGUGGUGAAGGGCUGCGUGUCGUAAAACUCUGUUAUUAGGGAAGAACACAUGUGUAAGUAACUGUGCAUAUCUUGCCGGUACCUAAUCAGAAGGCCCCGGCUACCUACUC